CGAAAAAAUUUGACUGAAAUCGGACUACUAAAUCAUAUAGCUAUCAUAGGAACGAUUGUUUGAAUAUCAACCUAUAACUCCCCUCUGAUUCAUGUGCAGAGCGCAUCAAGUUACCCUGGUUUCCAUCUAGACGAAACAUUGAGUCAGCCAAAACGAAGCUUGACACGUGUUGCAAAUGCCGGGCGAGUGCAUAUUCUCACUUCAGUGGCAACUGCUGAGGCUCCAAGUCACAGUGGACACAAGCUACAAUGAACCUAUGUACAAACAAAACAUGCCUAGCUUGGGCAAAUAUUGAAAUUGAUAAGAACUGUGUAGAGUAAGAGAAAGUUAAAAAAUGUAUGCUACAGUAAACACUCAUAAAUUCAUGUUUA